rnacentral:misc_RNA from 1 species
AAGUCGUAACAAGGUCUCCGUUGGUGAACCAGCGGAGGGAUCAUUAACACAUAUGUAUAUGUGGGCUCAGCACCAUGUAUAUAUAUAUCCACACCUAUUCUCUAUCUACCUAUACCGUGAACACAUGUGACCCACCCCUCUACUUUUCAUUUUCAUGUCAGUCGGCUCGGCUGAGAUGACUGUGAACUGUUGGAGGUUUUUGUUAUCCAUACCUUUUCCAAGCUUCAGGUGUUUUUUUAUUUUGUUAGCCAUGUCAUGGGCUAUACAGUAUAUACAAAAACCUGCUUUUUGGGCACAACUCUUAGCAACGGAUAUCUUGGUUCUC